AGUUGAUUGCGGGGGGACUCAAAUUGCGAGUUGAGAAGGUUAAAACCUGACCCUUUGAACCUGUACAGUUAAUACUGACGUAGGGAGCGAUAACAUCACUUUG
rnacentral:ncRNA from 2 species